rnacentral:rRNA from 1 species
CCUACGGGGGGCAGCAGUGAGGAAUAUUGGUCAAUGGACGAGAGUCUGAACCAGCCAAGUAGCGUGAAGGAUGACUGCCCUAUGGGUUGUAAACUUCUUUUAUAUGGGAAUAAAAUGUUCCACGUGUGGGAUUUUGUAUGUACCAUAUGAAUAAGGAUCGGCUAACUCCGUGCCAGCAGCCGCGGUAAUACGGAGGAUCCGAGCGUUAUCCGGAUUUAUUGGGUUUAAAGGGAGCGUAGGUGGAUUGUUAAGUCAGUUGUGAAAGUUUGCGGCUCAACCGUGAAAUUGCAGUUGAAACUGGCAGUCUUGAGUACAGUAGAGGUGGGCGGAAUGCGUGGUGUAGCGGUGAAAUGCUUAGAUAUCACGAAGAAAUCCGAUUGCGAAGGCAGUUCACUGGACUGCAACUGACACUGAGGCUCGAAAGUGUGGGUAUCAAACAGGAUUAGAUACCCCUGUAGUC